UGGCUCAAAGGGGUACAUGUGCAUUAGCCCUCUGGUUUUUCUCUCUUACCACAAGGGAGCUCUGCUCCAAGGAGAUGGUUCACAAGCUGCCCCUGGGUUACAACCACAGCAACACUGAUUUGGUAUUGCAGCAUGGUGAAGUGUAAACACACUUCAGGGCUUAGCUUAGUCAUUUGUUUCUUCCUUCACCUGUGUGUCCAUUUAUCAAGCCCAGAUCAAAUGUUCCUAUGGAUCAAGCACUAGGGUUACAAAUAUGGCUAUAGCACAAGGCAUUUGCAAAUGUCUUCAGAAUCUUGCAGCACCU
rnacentral:lncRNA from 1 species